UUUAGUCUUUUUUUGAGCACUUAGCCUUUCUCUUUUAUAUUGGAGGCUCCCUCCCCCCUCAAACCACUUUCCUCUACAAGAGAAAAGAAGAAAGACAGAAGGCCUUUGAUGGGAGAAGAGGAGGAGGAGGAGAAGAAGGAGCAGCUGCCUGCCGGGUUUUUACACUGCCAAGUACUAGAGGAGGCAUCCAAAGGGAUCGCAUUGAUCCUUUAUUUUCAACCCUUUCUUCUUUCUCACAAUUUUGGAUCAUGCUAUCCCUUUGGAUUCCUCCUUUGGUUAGCUUUCAAAGAUAUAAGAACAUGGUGGUGCACUCUUUCGCUUUCCCCAUGCAUUGAACAAGAAGAGAAUCCGAUGAUGACUCGACCAUAUGAAACUCAUCAGAGAAGACGAAGAACAAUGCAAAAAAAAAACAUGUACCAAAAUCAGCAACAUGAAAGUGAGAUGAUGAUAACCCUGUCAGGAUCUUCCACAGAUUUGCAUCUCUAGGACCCCAAAACAUGCAGGCUUAGAAGGAUCUUGUUUCCUCAUCAUGUUCUUUUUAGAAUCCCCUGGGUUCAUCAGAACAUGUAAUCUGAGGCAAAUUGAUUAAGGUUUGGUUGAGUGAAUAUAUGUUUUGUCUCUUGGAAGAAGGCAUGGCCCCUGUCCAUAUGAAUUAAUCAUCAUUUUUUACAGUCAUUAUGAAUAAAACAGUGCCUGAAAUCAAAGACAAUAACUUGUACA